GUCUUGGUAGCCUAGUGAUAAUGGUUGCUGACUCGUGGUCGUCAUGUCAUUAGUUCGAGUCUAGUGCCACUAAAGACC